rnacentral:rRNA from 1 species
CUGCGAGUGAAGCGGGAAAAGCUCAAAUUUGAAAUCUGGCAGUCUAUUUUUUCUUCUUUGGCUGUCCGAGUUGUAAUCUAGAGAAGUGCUUACCUGCACUGGACCAUGUAUAAGUCUCCUGGAAUGGAGCGUCGCAGAGGGUGAGAAUCCCGUCUUUGACAUGGACUGCCAGUGUGUUGUGGUGUGCUCUCAAAGAGUCGAGUUGUUUGGGAAUGCAGCUCUAAAUGGGUGGUAAACUCCAUCUAAAGCUAAAUAUUGGCGAGAGACCGAUAGCGAACAAGUACCGUGAGGGAAAGAUGAAAAGGACUUUGGAAAGAGAGUUAAACAGUAUGUGAAAUUGUUGAAAGGGAAACGCUUGAAGUCAGUUAUGUUGGCUAGGGAUCAACCUAGCUGUCUUUUGCUGGGUGAAUUUCCUAGUCUGACAGGCCAACAUCAGUCUUGACUGCUGGAAAAGAGCAGAGGGAAUGUGGCACCUUCGGGUGUGUUAUAGCCCUUUGUCAUAUGUGGCGGUUGGGACUGAGGGAUGCAGCGUGCCGCGAGGCUGGGUUUCGACCACGUUCACGCUUAGGAUGUUGGCUUUUAAUGGCUUCAAUCGACCCGUCUUGAAACACGGACCAAGGAGUCUAACAUGCCUGCAAGUGUUUGGGUGGAAAACCCUUGCGCACAAUGAAAGUGAAAGUUGAGAUCCCUGUCAUGGGGAGCAUCGACGCCCGGACUUGAGCUUUUAGCGACGGAUCCGCGGUAGAGCAUGCAUGUUGGGACCCGAAAGAUGGUGAACUAUGCCUGAAUAGGGCAAAGCCAGAGGAAACUCUGGUGGAGGCUCGUAGCGAUUCUGACGUGCAAAUCGAUCGUCAAAUUUGGGUAUAGGGGCGAAAG